rnacentral:pre_miRNA from 1 species
UACAUACUCCCUCCGUCCUAAAAAAUUUGUUUUUGAUUUGCCUAGAUAUGAAUGUAUCUAGUCAUGUGUUAGUACUUAGAUAUAUUCAUUUCUGAAUAAACAUAAGACAAGAAUUUUGAUAGGAGGGAGUACUAC